rnacentral:misc_RNA from 1 species
UUUCCGUAGGUGAACCUGCGGAAGGAUCAUUACUGAGUGAGGGCCCUCUGGGUCCAACCGCCCACCCGUGUUUAUUAUACCUUGUUGCUUCGGUGAGCCCGCCUCACGGCCGCCGGGGGGCAUCUGCCCCCGGGCCCGCGCCCACCGAAGACACCUAGAACUCUGUAUGAAGAUUGCAGUCUGAGCAAAAACUAAAUAAGUUAAAACUUUCAACAACGGAUCUCUUGGUUCCG